rnacentral:rRNA from 1 species
GACGAACGCUGGCGGCGUGCUUAACACAUGCAAGUCGAACGGAAAGGCCCCCUUGUGGGGUACUCGAGUGGCGAACGGGUGAGUAACACGUGAGUAACCUACCCUUGACUUUGGGAUAACUUCAGGAAACUGGGGCUAAUACCGGAUAGGAGCUCCUGCUGCAUGGUGGGGGUUGGAAAGUUUUGGCGGUUGGGGAUGGACUCGCGGCUUAUCAGCUUGUUGGUGGGGUAGUGGCUCACCAAGGCUUUGACGGGUAGCCGGCCUGAGAGGGUGACCGGCCACAUUGGGACUGAGAUACGGCCCAGACUCCUACGGGAGGCAGCAGUGGGGAAUAUUGCACAAUGGGCGGAAGCCUGAUGCAGCAACGCCGCGUGCGGGAUGACGGCCUUCGGGUUGUAAACCGCUUUCGCCUGUGACGAAGCGUGAGUGACGGUAAUGGGUAAAGAAGCACCGGCUAACUACGUG